rnacentral:sRNA from 1 species
CUUUCCCCUCCGGCCUCUGCCGGUGCUGCUGCGCCCCGCGGAGCUCCGAACACGUGCGCAGAGGCCGGCUGUGGCAGAUGCAACUGCAGGAUGACUUGAAAGUAGGGCAUCCUUCACCCAUCUGAAGGGAGGAAAUAGUGGCAGGUGACAGUCUGCAUGUGCAGUUUUCAGAUCCCAAUCACAGUGCUUGGCACAUGGCAGGAUCUCCCUGAAUGUUGGAUAAAACAACUGAAAACACGGAAGGGGGUUCCUGUUAAAGGGUUUGACAACAGGGUCUGCAAUCAGUGCUUCCAUGCCUGUUUUGCAGCCAACAUUCAACUGAUACGUCUUCUACCUGGAGUGCCUAGAUGCCUUCACCUGAAUGACAUCUACCUCCAUCAGGACCCCAGAUGUCUGAUAGCCCUGUGUGACACCAAGAUAAGUAAUAAUCUGUUUGGCUGCUGACUACCCUAUUGGACAACUCCAAUAUUAGAGAACAUUUCCACCAAUUCAGAAAGUUUAUUAUGCACUGCUGUUCUAGAGCAGGGAUCAGCAAACUUGCUGUAAAGAGCCAGGAUCCCGUUGAAGAUACCACAUUACACUUAGGCUCCUGUUGGCCAUGACAGCUUCUUAGACUUGUUUUUAAUGACCUUGACAGUUUUGUUUUUUUGUUUGUUUGUUUUUAUUUGAGAUGGAAUCUCUGUCAUCCAGGCUGGAGUGCAAUGUAAUGGCUCAAUCUCAGCUCACUGCAACCUCUGCCUCCCGGGUUCAAAUGAUUCUCCUGCCUCAGCCUCCCCAGUAGCUGGGAUUACAGUCACGAGCCACCGCGC